rnacentral:rRNA from 1 species
AGGACGAACGCUGGCGGCGUGGAUUAGGCAUGCAAGUUGAGCGACGGUUAAGGGCUUGCCCUUAAUACGGAGCAGCGAACGGGUGAGUAACACGUGAACAAUCUGUCCCUUCAUUCCGGAUAAUUGGAAGAAAUUCCUUGUAAUACGGGCGAGGGUCUCCGGGGGGCAUUCCUUGGGGAAGGAAGGCGCAAGCCGUGCAGGGAGGAGUUCGCGGCCUAUCAGUUAGUUGGUGGGGUAAUGGCCCACCAAGACGAUGAUCGGUA